GGGUUGUGAGGUUAAGCGACUAAGCGUACACGGUGGAUGCCCUGGCAGUCAGAGGCGAUGAAGGGCGUGCUAAUCUGCGAUAAGCGCCGGUAAGGUGAUAUGAACCGUUAUAACCGGCGAUACCCGAAUGGGGAAACCCAGUGUGACUCGUCACACUAUCAUUAACUGAAUCCAUAGGUUAAUGAGGCGAACCGGGGGAACUGAAACAUCUAAGUACCCCGAGGAAAAGAAAUCAACCGAGAUUCCCCCAGUAGCGGCGAGCGAACGGGGAGGAGCCCAGAGCCUGAAUCAGCAUGUGUGUUAGUGGAAGCGUCUGGAAAGGCGCGCGAUACAGGGUGACAGCCCCGUACACAAAAGCGCAUGUGCUGUGAGCUCGAUGAGUAGGGCGGGACACGUGGUAUCCUGUCUGAAUAUGGGGGGACCAUCCUCCAAGGCUAAAUACUCCUGACUGACCGAUAGUGAACCAGUACCGUGAGGGAAAGGCGAAAAGAACCCCGGCGAGGGGAGUGAAAAAGAACCUGAAACCGUGUACGUACAAGCAGUGGGAGCNNGGGCGUUAAGUUGCAGGGUAUAGACCCGAAACCCGGUGAUCUAGCCAUGGGCAGGUUGAAGGUUGGGUAACACUAACUGGAGGACCGAACCGACUAAUGUUGAAAAAUUAGCGGAUGACCUGUGGCUGGGGGUGAAAGGCCAAUCAAACCGGGAGAUAGCUGGUUCUCCCCGAAAGCUAUUUAGGUAGCGCCUCGUGAAUUCAUCUCCGGGGGUAGAGCACUGUUUCGGCUAGGGGGCCAUCCCGGCUUACCAACCCGAUGCAAACUGCGAAUACCGGAGAAUGUUAUCACGGGAGACACACGGCGGGUGCUAACGUCCGUCGUGAAGAGGGAAACAACCCAGACCGCCAGCUAAGGUCCCAAAGUCAUGGUUAAGUGGGAAACGAUGUGGGAAGGCCCAGACAGCCAGGAUGUUGGCUUAGAAGCAGCCAUCAUUUAAAGAAAGCGUAAUAGCUCACUGGUCGAGUCGGCCUGCGCGGAAGAUGUAACGGGGCUAAACCAUGCACCGAAGCUGCGGCAGCGANNUGCUGGAGGUAUCAGAAGUGCGAAUGCUGACAUAAGUAACGAUAAAGCGGGUGAAAAGCCCGCUCGCCGGAAGACCAAGGGUUCCUGUCCAACGUUAAUCGGGGCAGGGUGAGUCGACCCCUAAGGCGAGGCCGAAAGGCGUAGUCGAUGGGAAACGGGUUAAUAUUCCCGUACUUGGUGUUACUGCGAAGGGGGGACGGAGAAGGCUAUGUUGGCCGGGCGACGGUUGUCCCGGUUUAAGCGUGUAGGUGUGUGUUCCAGGUAAAUCCGGUUCACUUUAACACUGAGGCGUGACGACGAGGCACUACGGUGCUGAAGCAACAAAUGCCCUGCUUCCAGGAAAAGCCUCUAAGCAUA
rnacentral:rRNA from 1 species